AUGCCAUGGCCUCGGAUCCGCGCCGCCGUCGCCGGAGAACAUCGUUCGCCACCGGUUCUUCGACCACAACUACCGGAUCAAGUUGCCCCGCCUCCGAUCUACCCGUUCCCGGCCACCCCAACCUCGCCUCGUCGUCGGGCGCGUAGAGAGACGGCCAUGACCGCCGGAUUCCCGAGCGCCGCCGGCCAAGGUCUUGGAGGAGACCGUCGAGGUCUUGGAGGGGUGGUUCUGGAGCACAAGCUGCGGCGAGUUGUCGGCUAUGUGACAGAGGAGACCCCCGAGGUCUUGCAAGGGUGGUUCUGGAGCGAAGUGGGAUGUGUGUCAGGUGAAGGACUCCCUUGUGGCGAACGGCGCUGGGUGCUAUCAGCUGAGAAGGCUUCAGGCCGGACCAUGGAUGGUGCAGCGGGUGAGAGUUGGGGCAGACGGCGAGUGCGGUGGAUGCGGAUGCCGCCUAGGUUCUGUUGA
rnacentral:rRNA from 1 species